GGCAGAAUGGCAUGCCUUUCAUCCACACAGCAUUUAGGGAAUGCUUAAAAACAAGCAAUUUCAUUAUGAACGGUUAACUUUAGCUUCGGCCAUCAUCCUGAAAAGGGACAUCAUAAAUUCCUAUGAAAAAGUCUCUCCUUCACUUUGCUGAACUAAAUUCAACAAACAAAUCUCAUCUACCUAAGCUUAAAACAUCUAGAUUUAAAUACAUGAAAACGCUGACGUUUUUCUUAGGGUUAUGAGAAUAUAGGUACUAUUUUUUCUUUAUUCUGUUUCUUAUUUGAUUUUUUUACAAAUGCCUAGUAAACCUGCAUCAGUUGCUUAUUAUAAAUAUAAGCAUUUGAAAUAGGUAGCAGGAGUCAAGAACCACGAUUACAUCCAUUUUCCCAGCAAGUUCCUCACCAAUAGUUCACUAACAAGGAGACAUCCUGGCUACCUCUGGGACCCCCUCAAAGACCUCCACUUGACAACACAAAGCAGACAGUACUACACCCUUAUUACAGAUGAGGACACCAAGGUUACCUAGAAAGCAGCUGUGUCAAUACCGCCUGCUCUGUGGCUACAGGCAUUGCACUUCCCACCUACCCGCAAGCCCAGGUGUUACCACUCCCAGGAGCAGCCCUUACCCAAGAGACAGAAAGAUCCCAUCAAACGCAUUCCCCUUCCUGUGUCAGGAUCAAGACAGUCUACAGUCAUGUCAGUGUGUACUCCUGCCAAAACUCCUACCAGCAAAUAAAUUUAAGAGCUCAGCCUCAGUCUACUUAACAACAUCAUGUUGCAACCAGUGAAGUCAUUCAGAAAUGCAUAAUUCAAUAACAACUUAGCACCAGAUGAAGUUUUAUGAUCUGCAACACUCUGUCUGCCCCGGCUCCCCCUUAUCCCCCAAAACCUCAACAUUUUCAAGAUUACUCUUUGCUGGGCCACUUCCCAAAAUUAAGAGCAGAGUAAACAUUCUAGAAGAGCCUUCCUUUCCUUGCCUGCUAAUCAGGAGUCCUCAGAAAGCAUGAAUCAAGAGUCUGUCACCUCCAAAGGAGGGGCUAGGAGAAGCUGGAUUCUAAAGCUUUGGAAUCAAAGGCCA
rnacentral:lncRNA from 1 species